rnacentral:rRNA from 1 species
GAUGAACGCUGGCGGCGUGCCUAAUACAUGCAAGUCGAGCGAACGGACGAGAAGCUUGCUUCUCUGAUGUUAGCGGCGGACGGGUGAGUAACACGUGGAUAACCUACCUAUAAGACUGGGAUAACUUCGGGAAACCGUAGCUAAUACCGGAUAAUAUUUUGAACCGCAUGGUUCAAAAGUGAAAGACGGUCUUGCUGUCACUUAUAGAUGGAUCCGCGCUGCAUUAGAUAGUUGGUAAGGUAACGGCCUACCAAGGCAACGAUGCAUAGCCGACCUGAGAGGGUGAUCGGACACACUGGAACUGAGACACGGUCCAGACUCCUACGGGAGGAAGCAGUAGGGAAUCUUCCGCAAUGGGCGAAAGCCUGACGGAGCAACGCCGCGUGAGUGAUGAAGGUCUUCGGAUCGUAAAACUCUGUUAUUAGGGAAGAACAUAUGUGUAAGUAACUGUGCACAUCUUGACGGUACCUAAUCAGAAAGCCACGGCUAACUACGUG